rnacentral:tRNA from 1 species
AAUGAUGUGCCUGAAAAUAAAAAGGAUUACUAUGAUAAGGUAAACAAUGUAAAAUAAUAAUAUUACCUUCAUUA